UACGUAGGGUGCGAGCGUUAAUCGGAAUUACUGGGCGUAAAGCGUGCGCAGGCGGUCUGUUAAGACCGAUGUGAAAUCCCCGGGCUUAACCUGGGAACUGCAUUGGUGACUGGCAGGCUUUGAGUGUGGCAGAGGGAGGUAGAAUUCCACGUGUAGCAGUGAAAUGCGUAGAGAUGUGGAGGAAUACCGAUGGCGAAGGCAGCCUCCUGGGCCAACACUGACGCUCAUGCACGAAUGCGUGGGGAGCAAACAGG
rnacentral:rRNA from 1 species